rnacentral:tRNA from 5 species
GCGCCCUUAGCUCAGCUGGAUAGAGCAACGCCCUUCUAAGGCGUGGGUCGUAGGUUCGACUCCUACAGGGCGUGCCA